CAAUAGCGUAUAUUAAAGUUGUUGCGGUUAAAAGCUCGUAGUUGGAUUUCUGCUGAGGACGAUCGGUCCGCCCUCUGGGUGAGCAUUGACUCGGCCUUGGCAUCUUCUUGGAGAACGCUACUGCACUUGACUGUGUGGUGCGGUAUCCAGGACUUUUACUUUGAGGAAAUUAGAGUGUUUCAAGCAGGCGCACGCCUUGAAUACAUUAGCAUGGAAUAAUAGGAUAGGACCUUGGUUCUAUUUUGUUGGUUUCUAGAGCUGAGGUAAUGAUUAAUAGGGAUAAUUGGGGGCAUUUGUAUUAACGCGUCAGAGGUGGAAUUCUUGGAUUGCGUUACGACAAACUAACUGCGAAGACAUUUGUCCAACGGAUGUUUUCAUUGAUCAAGAACGAAAGUAUGGGGAGUCGAAGACGAUUAGAUACCAU
rnacentral:rRNA from 1 species